CUAACCCGAGUCUACCAAUCUACUGAUUUCCAAGAGAGCACUGUGACGUCCCAUGAAGCUUUGUUUGUGGUCCAAAUGCUGAAUUUUGUUCAGCAACAACGAUAGGGGAGAGGAGAGGAACAUCAUGGAUGACCUGCCCCUAUACUACCUCUGAUUGGUUAACUCUAACCCUAACCACAAACAGAGGCAACACUUUGUUUAGAGUUAGUUUUAAACCGCUGAAGCAAUGACGCAGAGACGCCACGACUCUCUGUCAACUAAGAGGGACCACACAUCAAUACAGCUGCUUAAACAGGAAAAUAAAGUGACUCAGAGGGGAGUCAACUCAACCAGUGGCAGAUCGAGCUCCAUCGCUGGACUGUUGCAUUGCAAGAGGUCGAUAUCCAGAUGAUUAUUCCACAAAUUUUAGCUUUUAUCCUCUGAAACAGUG